rnacentral:misc_RNA from 1 species
UGCCAAUUAAGAAUGCUAAUUUUACCUUAUUAAAAUCCUCAUUAUUUGAUACACAAAUGAAAAAGAAAAGGGGAAAGAGAGACACAAAUCACUCCCACAGAAAUUAGCAAAUGUAAAACAUAGAAGUUGAGAAGGAAACAGAAAGAGAAUCAACAGAACUUGUUAAAGAAAUCGUGAAUGUGGCAGUUGAUUUCAUGAGGCCUUUCUUGGUUGAUGAAAUGAGAAGCGUCUUUCAUAACAAUGACUUCUUCCAAACCAGGCACAUCCUUUUUGAAGGCAUCGCCAUUAAUGUACUUUUGAGCUCCUGGAAAAUAGUAAGUCAGAUCCAAAUCCCCCACUAUGAACUUUACUGGUACCUUUAUUUUUGCACCUGUCCACGGCGCUGUCAGCUCCCAAGUCCGGUCAAAAGCUCGGUAAUAAUUGAGGCCGCCGGUGAAACCAGUGUGGGAGAAUUUGUCGGCAUAGAAGUCAAUAUCUUGGGGAGUGAGCCACGAUGCUAGAGGCGGCGGCGGGACCCCUUCGAAUUUGACCUCACCAGGCAAAUAUGGAGCACGUGGGUCCCGAUUUGACAACACGUUCUUGAAAAACUCUCUUAUAUCCACUGAUGCAAACUCUUCCUCUGCCUUCCCCGGUUCCUGAAAUCUGACCAUAUAGAACUGUUCCCCAAGAACAGCUUUGAAGCCUUCAAUAAACGGCGUUGCUGGGUUUCUAGGAAAAAACUGGACACUCAAAAUCACCGACGCCUUGAUCUUAUCCGGCCUAAACAAGCAAAAGUACCAAGCAAUCAAGGCUCCCCAAUCAUGGCCCACCAAUAACACCUUCUCAAUCCCCAGCUCAUCCAACAGCCCCACCAAAUCCCCCACGAUGUGCAGGGUGGUGUACGACUCAGACGACGGCGGCGCGUCCGAGUCACCGUAGCCACGGAGGUCCGGGGCGAUGACUCUGUACCCAGCGGAGGAAAGGAAAACGAUUUGGUGGCGCCAGGAGUACCAGAGCUCUGGGAAGCCAUGCAGGAGGAGCACGGGUGGGCCGGUCACAGGGCCGGCGGCGGCGACGUGGAGUUUUAUGCCGUUGGUUUGAACGGUAGUGUGGCGGAUGGUGUCCAUUGGAUUGUG